rnacentral:misc_RNA from 1 species
UUAAGUUCAGCGGGUAAUCCCGCCUGAUUUCAGAUCAAAGGUAAAGGGUUUAGUUACAACUUUCGGCAGACCGGUCCCGCUCUUUAUAAAAGUACAUUUAUCAAGUGCGGAAGACCAUUUGGCCCACCAUUGCAACAGUCAUUCCAGCCGAGACAAUCCCCCUGAUGGGAGACCGCUGGGCCACCGGUUAUGCUCUUUCC